rnacentral:rRNA from 1 species
UGGGGAAUAUUGCACAAUGGGCGCAAGCCUGAUGCAGCCAUGCCGCGUGUGUGAAGAAGGCCUUCGGGUUGUAAAGCACUUUCAGCGAGGAGGAAGGGUAGUGUGUUAAUAGCACAUUGCAUUGACGUUACUCGCAGAAGAAGCACCGGCUAACUCCGUGCCAGCAGCCGCGGUAAUACGGAGGGUGCAAGCGUUAAUCGGAAUUACUGGGCGUAAAGCGCACGCAGGCGGUUUGUUAAGUCAGAUGUGAAAUCCCCGCGCUUAGCGUGGGAACUGCAUUUGAAACUGGCAAGCUAGAGUCUUGUAGAGGGGGGUAGAAUUCCAGGUGUAGCGGUGAAAUGCGUAGAGAUCUGGAGGAAUACCGGUGGCGAAGGCGGCCCCCUGGACAAAGACUGACGCUCAGGUGCGAAAGCGUGGGGAGCAAACA